UUUAUAAAUCCCACUAGAUCACUCAAUAUCCUCACAACACUCAAACUCCUCUCUCUCUCCUCUCUCAUAACCGUCCACACCCCACCACCUCUCACUCUCAUCCUUUGCAACUUUAUUCUAGUAAAUCAAGCUCCAUUUCAACAAUAUUUCAAGUAGUUGUGAAGAAUCAAAGGUGUUUCCAAGGUGUUUGCAAGUGAUUCAAGCUUCCUAUCAUCAAAAUUUAAUCCCACAACUUACUUGAAUCUUGAAGUUAAAAUGCAAGACGCAUAAACAAUUUGAGGGAUUGUGUUAACAUUUAAAAACGCACCC
rnacentral:lncRNA from 1 species